GUCCACGCCGUAAACGAUGGGCACUAGGUGCUUAGGGGAGCGACCCUCUGAGUACCGGCGCUAACGCAUGAAGUGCCCCGCCUGGGGAGUACGGCCGCAAGGCUGAAACUCAAAGGAAUUGACGGGGCCCGCACAAGCGGUGGAGCAUGUGGUUUAAUUCGACGCAACGCGCAGAACCUUACCUAGGCUUGACAUGCACGGGAAGCUGGUGGAAACAUCGGCCCCUCUUCGGAGCCCGUGCACAGGUGCUGCAUGGCUGUCGU
rnacentral:rRNA from 1 species